AACGCACAUUGCGCCCUUUGGUAUUCCGAAGGGCAUGCCUGUUCGAGCGUCAUUUCACCACUCAAGCCUGGCUUGGUAUUGGGCGUCGCGGUGUCCGCGCGCCUUAAAGUCUCCGGCUGAGCUGUCCGUCUCUAAGCGUUGUGAUACAUAUUCGCUUCGGAGCGCGGGUGGCCGCGGCCGUUAAACUUAUUCAAAGGUUGACCUCGGAUCAGGUAGGGAUACCCGCUGAACUUAA
rnacentral:misc_RNA from 1 species